rnacentral:rRNA from 1 species
GGACAUGGCUCAGAUUGAACGUUGGCGGCAGGCUUAAUACAUGCAAGUCGAGCGGUAACAGGAGAAGCUUGCUUCUCGCUGACGAGCGGCGGACGGGUGAGUAACGCGUAGGAAUCUACCCAGUAGCGGGGGAUAGCCCGAGGAAACUCGGAUUAAUACCGCAUACGCCCCACGGGGGAAAGGCCGGGAUCUUCGGACCGGUCACUAUUGGAGGAGCCUGCGUUGGAUUAGCUAGUUGGUGAGGUAAAGGCUCACCAAGGCAACGAUCCAUAGCUGGUCUGAGAGGACGAUCAGCCACACUGGAACUGAGACACGGUCCAGACUCCUACGGGAGGCAGCAGUAGGGAAUAUUGUGCAAUGGGGGAAACCCUGACACAGCCAUGCCGCGUGUGUGAAGAAGGCCUUAGGGUUGUAAAGCACUUUCAGUAGGGAGGAAAGGUUAUAGUUUAAUACGCUAUAGCUGUGACGUUACCUACAGAAGAAGGACCGGCUAACUCCGUGCCAGCAGCCGCGGUAAUACGGAGGGUCCGAGCGUUAAUCGGAAUUACUGGGCGUAAAGCGCGCGUAGGUGGUUUGUUAAGCGAGAUGUGAAAGCCCCGGGCUUAACCUGGGAACUGCAUUUCGAACUGGCAGACUAGAGUAUGGUAGAGGUGAGUGGAAUUUCCUGUGUAGCGGUGAAAUGCGUAGAUAUAGGAAGGAACACCAGUGGCGAAGGCGACUCACUGGACCAAAACUGACGCUGAGGUACGAAAGCGUGGGGAGCAAACAGGAUUAGAUACCCUGGUAGUCCACGCCGUAAACGAUGUCUACUAGCCGUUGGGAGACUUGAUCUCUUAGUGGCGCAGCUAACGCAAUAAGUAGACCGCCUGGGGAGUACGGCUGCAAGGUUAAAACUCAAAUGAAUUGACGGGGGCCCGCACAAGCGGUGGAGCAUGUGGUUUAAUUCGAAGCAACGCGAAGAACCUUACCUACUCUUGACAUCCUGCGAACUUGGUAGAGAUACCUUGGUGCCUUCGGGAACGCAGAGACAGGUGCUGCAUGGCUGUCGUCAGCUCGUGUUGUGAAAUGUUGGGUUAAGUCCCGUAACGAGCGCAACCCUUGUCCUUAGUUGCCAUCAUUUAGUUGGGGACUCUAAGGAGACUGCCGGUGACAAACCGGAGGAAGGCGGGGACGACGUCAAGUCAUCAUGGCCCUUACGAGUAGGGCAACACACGUGCUACAAUGGCAAGUACAGAAGGCCGCGAAGCCGCGAGGGGGAGCUAAUCUGAGAAAGCCAGUCGUAGUCCGGAUCGGAGUCUGCAACUCGACUCCGUGAAGUCGGAAUCGCUAGUAAUCGUGAAUCAGAAUGUCACGGUGAAUACGUUCCCGGGCCUUGUACACACCGCCCGUCACACCAUGGGAGUGGGUUGCUCCAGAAGUAAAUAGCUUAACCUUCGGGAGGGCGUUUACCACGGAGUGAUUCAUGACUGGGGUGAGUCGACCAC